ACGAACGCUGGCGGCGUGCUUAACACAUGCAAGUCGAACGGAAAGGCCCUGCUUUUGUGGGGUGCUCGAGUGGCGAACGGGUGAGUAACACGUGAGUAACCUGCCCUUGACUUUGGGAUAACUUCAGGAAACUGGGGCUAAUACCGGAUAGGAGCUCCGCUGCAUGGUGGGGGUUGGAAAGUUUCGGCGGUUGGGGAUGGACUCGCGGCUUAUCAGCUUGUUGGUGGGGUAGUGGCUUACCAAGGCUUUGACGGGUAGCCGGCCUGAGAGGGUGACCGGCCACAUUGGGACUGAGAUACGGCCCAGACUCCUACGGGAGGCAGCAGUGGGGAAUAUUGCACAAUGGGCGGAAGCCUGAUGCAGCAACGCCGCGUGCGGGAUGACGGCCUUCGGGUUGUAAACCGCUUUCGCCUGUGACGAAGCGUGAGUGACGGUAAUGGGUAAAGAUGCACCGGCUAACUACGUG
rnacentral:rRNA from 1 species